GGUGAUUGAUUGAUCGUGGUCCAGCAUGCAGAAGUGAGUGAGUGGUGAAGAGCAGCAGAGCUGAUGGGUUGUGAAGAUGUGUUUGAAGGCUGUCACACUCCCUACUUCAGGGUUGUGCUCAGCUAUUGUUCUGACAGAGUCUUCCAUGAACACUAGCAGUUGAAAAGAAAAACAAAAAAAUGAAAGAAAACAGGAAAAAGAAGCAAAGAAAAGAUUGUGAGCUCCUGGGGACAGGGACCACAUGGGUCAUUUCAGAACCAGCUCCCGUACCACCUGCUCAUGUUGAUCCUGCUCCUGCACUAACACUGGAGCUCCAUAGUGCACCAACUAUUCCGUCACCAGCUCCAUCACCAGCAUCAGAUGGACAGGUAGCUGGAGGCGUAGAGUUCAAUCGUAGCCACCUCCAGAAAUGGCUCCCACACCAUCUGCUGAUGUUGGUCUUGCUCCUGCUCAACACCAAAGCUCUACAGAGCACCAAGUCUUCCAUCUCCAGCUCUGCCUCGGUCACUACAGGUUGAGCCAUUUGCUACACCUCCUCUACAGCCACUCCUCGUUCAUGGGUAGGGAACGUCAGCUCCAGAACCACACCCUUUCUUCAAUUCACCUGAGUGGGAUUUUUUUUUGGUUUUGUGGUAGUAUUUUUCCAAAUCACUAUAUGCUAUUUUAACAGGUAGAUUUCUCAUAAAAUCAAAAUUGUUUUAAUAAUUUUAACAUGUGUAGUAUAGUGGC